CUUGCUCAUGGGGGAAUGUUGGGUCUCUGUAAAUCAAAGACUACAGUCUAGACCUGCUCUAUGUGAAAAGUGCCCUUAUAUAACCUCUGUUAAUAUUUAUGACAUUAUUUAUUAGCCAUCAUAAUGCAUUAGUUACAAUAAACCUUUGAAAAGGUCACUUAUUACUAUUAUUAGUUGGUUAUUUUCAGCACAAAAGCCUGGAACGACAAACUGUUCGAGUUGCACAGGGCAUCUUGAUUGUUCUAAUUUAUGUUAAUUAUCCACCAGAGUUGUUUCACAGUUAACAUAAACGGUUGUCUUGGCUUCCUGCAGUGAUGCAGUCAUCAGAUUGUUUUUAUCAAGAGCUUGGUUUGCUUUGGUUUCCACUGUAAAAACUUGCUUACACUUUGGCUUUGUCUGACCUGGUUUAUUGCCCCUGAAACAAAAAGUCUGGUGUUGCAUCUAAAGUUAUAAAUUACGGCCCUUCAUUUCAGUGCCAAAAUACACAUCUGCAAUACAAUACCAAGGAAUCCUGCGUGUGGGAUGGGAAAUCCUUGGGAAUAAACUCUGCUAAUGCUGGCAUCCAUCCACAGAUGACUUAUUUGAACACUGAGACUAAGAGCCCAGCAUCAUCUGGUACAAUAUUGUUGAUCCCAUCCAAAAUAGGCAGCAUUGUCCUUGUUUGAUUAAAAGUUUACAGAUUAGCCAAAAAAUCCAGAGUAAGAUGAUUCUUGUCAGCCAGUUUUAAAAACAUUUGCACUGAUGCUCUCGUUCCCUGGAAACCAAAUAUUUAGGCUAAAGCAGUCCAGAAAAUGACAUGUCAUCCUUUAGGGAUUUCUGAUGAAUUACGUCAACAAAAGGGCAUUGAUUACAGUCUGGAUUACUUCAAGACAAGUGAAAACUAUCUUGUUGGUUAUUUAUUGCUGUUAAAUUUUGAUUCACAGACAAACAUAAAAGUACUAUAAAUUUCACAUUCACUGUCUUCAGCACUUCCCACUAUUCGGGCUAAGCUGACGAUAACAAACGCUCUGACAACGUGUUAAGACAUUUCUAUGAUUUUACUCUCCAAUCUUGAAGCACUUGGCACCAACGUUGUGUGCCAUCCUGUUUUCAUGUUGAGCUCGAGUUACACGAUGCAAAUAGAUUAACAGGGUUAUGCUGUCUUUUCAGUGCUGAAAAACAAACACAAAUGUGCAGUAUAGCUUAUUGUAGUAAGGUUUUUAAGUUUGAUAUCUGAUGUAUAUAAAAUGCUUUUACAUGCUUUUAAGUUCUUGCUGCAGCAAUCAUCCAUAUCAGCAGUUAUUUGUGUUUACUUGGAGUUUUUAGAUGCCAUACACUGAUUUGGAAAUUGUUAAUCAAAGUUGCCAACACCAUCUAAAAAUCUAAAAGCGACAGCGGUGGUAAUGAUAUUAUGCAGUCACUAAAUACAUUUUGCUCAAGUGCUAUAUUCACAGUAACCAUAGUGUACUUGAGUAUUUACAUAUUGUGAGUAUUUGAUUAAUUUUUGAGUUAGUAAAAUGUCAGAAGAUGGUGAAAAUGUUACGAGGAGAUAAUAAAGUAACUAAGAGAUGGCAAUUUAGGGGAACUGUGGAGGUCAAGAUGAGAUCUGGAAGAUCAAGAAAACUCUCAGAGAGAACUGCUGCUGGUCAGAAAGGAAAAUCAAACCCCCAUUUGACUGUAAAAAAAACUUGCAGGAAGAUUUAGCAGACUCAGGAGUGGUGGUGCAUCGUUCCACUGUGCAGCAAUGCUUGCACAAACAAGACCUUCAUGGAAGAGUCAGUAGAAGAAAACCUUACCUGCAUCCUCAUCAUAAAAUCCAAUGUCAGAGGUAUGCCAUCUACAGAAGCCUGAUGUGUUCUGGAAACAAGUGCUGUGGACUGAUGAAGUUAAAAGAGAACUCUUAGGCCACAAUCAGCAAAGAUAUAUUUGGAGAAAAAAAAGGAGCAGCAUUUCAUGGAAAGAACAGCUUGCCAACUGUUAAGCAUGGGAGUGGAUCUAAUCAUUCUUUGGGGUUGUGUUGCUGCCAGUGGCACAAGAAACAUUACACGGGUGGAGGAAAGAAUGGAUUCCACUAAAUACCCGCAAAUUCUGGAAGUAAACAUCACACAAAACUAUGGGUAGAUCUUGAAAGAGCUGUGCAUGCAAGACGGCCUAAGAAUAUUGCAGAACUAGAAGCCUCUUGCAAGGAAGAAUGGGAGAAAAUCCCAAACACAAGAAGUGAAAGACUUCUAGAUGGCUAAAAAGCAUUUACAAGCUGUGAUAUCUGCCAGAGGGGGUGUUACUAAGUACUGAAUAUGUAGGGUGCCCAAACUUUUGCACAUGCCACAAUGAUGUUUUUAUUUUUUUAUUUUUGUUAAUCUAACUACAAAGGAAGGACUCUCUGUAAGUCUUUCUGUCUGUACUUUGCGUAUCACCAAAACUGUUCAUCUGAAGAGUAGUGUUGAAUUUGGUGCAAUUUGGACAUGCAACAUGUUUAAUAUUAAUAAACUUUGAAUAAACACGCUCACCUCUGUGUCAUGGGUUGUUUUCACCAAAAAAUAGGUGUUUUUUGUACUCCAUAAUAAUAAACCCAUAAGCAUGAAAACAGCGGGUGACCAGGGCUGUACAGCGAGUCAAAGGAAGGUUUCUCACAUUAUUUUCUCUAAAAAGAGAAAAGUAAACAGUGAACAGCUUUUGAUCGACAAUGGACAGACUCUUAGGCUACUUCCCACGGACAGUUCAAAACCAGAAUGUCUCAAGCACAAAUCUUUUGGGCAAACAUACUGACUCAAAUGAUUCAAACUGAAGCCACAGAAAAUAAAUGAUCUAAGAGCUCAAUUUGAUCAAUCCACUUUGGGAUGCACAUUUUUUGAAAAGCUCUCUGUUAUGUAUUUUAUUUUUAAACGCAGCCCUCAUUGUCCUUGAAAAGAACGUUUUGAACGGGCACUGUACUAGUUUAUGACAUAAAAAGUAACUGCAUUAAUGUUUGCUGAAACAUUAAUGCAUCUUUUCAAUUAAAAGAAUCACCGAAAUAUGUUAUUUGUCAAGGUGUGCCCAAACGUUUGCAUAUAACUGUAUAUACAGGGAUGUGAUUUUGGCCUAUAUGACUAAACUGACUGCUGUCAGUCCAUUCUAGGGUGCUCCAGCAUUAGCUGCAGUGAUAGAGAGAUCACUGGGAAAUAUGGUGGGUGUUAUACUGUAGACGUUCUCAUGACAAAUGGACAGAAAUAAGGCUGAGAAUUAGCCGAGUGUUCCUUUUAGGAACAUGAGGUCAACUGAUGAUACUCAGAGGUAAUAUUUAACAUGUUUGGAUUCCUCGAGAGAGGAACCAGGGUGAUAUCAGCCAACAUUUAUAGUGAAAUAGGGAAAUUCUUGUUUUGGUCACGGAAAUUGCAGCGUUAGCACUGGCAAACAAGCACAGAGGAUUUCCCAAUGCCUUUUUGUUUGUCAUGACCAGCAUAAAUCAGUGGGCCAACGGUUAGUUUUCCAUGGAUUCCUUCAGGGCAGCCUCUUCAGGAAAGAGAUCAAAGAAGCCAAGAAAGUAUCCAUGUCAACUUUACCUCUAACCUGCUAGCAACUCGAACGCAGAAUAUUAACAACAGAUUUCACACAACACCUUAUAGACAUAUAUUUCAAUGCCUUCUCAUGACAGUUAUGUGUUUUAAAUUUUUUGGGUGCUGAAAGUUAACCCAGAGGCCAACUGGUGUUGUAAAAACAUUUUUUCUUAGGGGCUUUUUGAAGGCCAUAAAUUUUGUUCAUACUGACUGGCUUUUGGUCGACGUUUUGUAGGUUUUAGGUUAAAUGAGAGAUAAAUACAUUAAUGGCCUAAAGCAAACAAUGCAAUGUCAUUGCAAAUAAUUCUGUUAACUGUAUCCCAAGGUUGAAGUUUAUAGGACAACGACUAACUGCAUGGACUGUUAGGUCUUAAUCUUGAUAGAUUCUCUUGAUUCUCUUCCCCACAGCUCUCAAACAUGCUAUUGUUACACCACUGUUAAAGAAGAACAAUCUUGAUCCAUUUGUCCUAGAGAACUAUAGACCAAUCUCAAACCUACCAUUCCUGUGGAAAAUUCUUGAAAAGGUUGUAUAUCAACAAUUACACAUGUAUCUGUCAUAUAACAAUUUCUUUGAUGUUUACCAGUCUGGUUUUAGAGUUAACCACAGUACAGAAACUGCCUUGGUCAGAGUUGUGAAUGAUCUUAAAAUUAGCUCUGACAACUACAAAGUUACUGUCUUAGUACUUCUCGACCUCAGUGCAACCUUUGAUACGGUUGACCAUGUGAUACUUCUUAAGCGCCUUGAGAAACACUGUUUAGGCCUUAGAGGCACUGUUCUUAACUGGCUUUCCUCUUACCUUACUGGUAGAUCUUUUUCUGUUGCUGUUGGUAACUCUGAAUCAGAAGUAGUCAGCGUUCCAUAUGGAGUCCCUCAAGGGUCAAUUCUUGGCCCUCUACUGUUUAAUUUGUAUAUGCUCCCACUUGGGUUCAUCAUUCAACAAUACAACAUAUCAUAUCAGUCCCAUGCUGACGGCACACAGUUAUACAUAUCUGUUUCUGCCAACCACCUUAACCCAGUGAGUGAUCUCAUCCAGUGCAUUACUGAAGUUAAAUAUUGGAUGGCCAAAAAUUUCUUGCAGUUAAAUGAAGACAAAACGGAGAUUCUUUUAGCAGGUCCGAAGGCUUUAAGACACCAGAUUAACUCCUGUCAACUCCCCUAUCAGUAAAACCCUGUGAUCAUGUCAAAAACUUGGGUGUGAUCUUGGAUGCUGAUCUUAACUUUCAGAAGCACAUUUCCAGUAUCUCUAAGACUGCUUUUUAUCAUCUUAGAAAUAUAUCCAAAAUUAGAUCUUUCCUGUCACAGUCUGGUUCUGAAAAGUUGGUUCACGCAUUAAUUUCCAGUCGACUAGACUAUUGUAAUGGACUCUUUGCUGGACUGGCAAAGCAAACACUUAAUAAACUCCAGCUUAUUCAGAAUGCUGCAGCCAGAGUAUUAACCAAAACCAGAAGGUGUGAAACUGAAUCACUCCUGUUUUAAUUUCUCUUCACUGGCUCCUAGUAAAGCAAAGAAUUGAUUUUAAAAUACUUCUUAUUGUUUUUAAAGCUAUGAACAGCCUAGCUCCCACCUACGUUGUUGAUAUGCUCUCUGAAUACAUGCCAGAUAGACCCUUGAGAUAAUCAAAUAAAGGUCUCCUCACCAUACCUAGAAUAAAUACUAAAUCAGCUCAUGGUGCCUUCAGCCAUUAUGGUCCUACUCUUUUCUGGUUUCUAUUAUGGUCCUUCUCUACCACAUGAACUCAGGUCUGUUACAACAGUGUCUUCCUUUAAAAGCAGACUAAAAACAUAUCUUUUUUCACAAGCUUUUAGUUAGUUUAAUGGGUGAAACCUUCUUUUUAGAAACAGUAUUAUUAUUGUUAUUUCUUUUAACAAUGAUAAUGAUAUAUAUAUCAAUCAAAGCUCAAAGUUGGUGUUUUUGUUUCAAGUCCAUUGUGAUGCAGAACAAAGACAACACAACAAAUAAUGUGUCACUAUCCCAAAAAAAAGCAACUCACUGCACUGCAGGUACUCUAGGAACAAUACAAGAAUAAGUGCCCUAACACUCCCUUCAAAUUCAUCUUCCCUGAGAAAAAUGUAUCAUCCAAACAAGUGAUAAGUGCAGGUUUAACACAGAAAGCAGUCUCCAUCAUCGCUCAGUAGGCGCCGUUUGUUAUGAAUGAUAUAUACAUAUAUAUAUAUAGUGGAUAAGCCAGUUUUUUUUUUUCAAGGAAAUUUAAUAAACAUCAGCUGAAUUACUCAGUCAUUGAAAAGGAAACACUAGCCUUGAUUUUAGCUUUGCAGCAUUUCAGUGUGUAUGUUAGCUCUAUCCCUGUUAUGGUCUUUACAGAUCACAAUCCUUUAACAUUUUUGAGUUCCUUACAGUUCCCUAACCAGAGGCUGAUUCGCUGGGCUCUGAUGCUCCAGUCCUAUAACUUAGAUAUUCGUCAUAUCAAGGGGCGGGACAAUGGGGUGGCAGACGCUUUGUCUCGGGCUCCCUGUGAAUGAUGUACUGUUUUUAAUGUGGUUAUUUUGCUCUGUUUGGUUCCAUCAUCUUGUUGUUUUCUCUUUCUUUCCUCUUAAUCAGCUUCCAGGAUCCAGUUGCUGAGGAUCGAGAGGGGGGAAUGACAGGGUUAUUAGGGAACAAACGGUCCUUGGAUGGGUGGAGCCGAUGUCAUUUGAGUACUAACUGGGAACACCUGGCCAGUGCCCCAGAAAGCAUUUAAACCCGCCUGCCCUGAUUCCAGUCUCUCUCUGAGCCCUUCUCCACUCACCACGCUGCGGUUGUUAUUUGUGUUGCCUUUUUGGUUUUGUUCUGCACUGACAACACGCACCUCACAUUAUACAACACAUCCACACACUUUCAAACACCACUGAUAUUGACUUCCACACCCCAUUGCAAUUAUUGUUAUUUACUUUAAUAAACUUCAGUUUAUUAUUGCUGA